rnacentral:rRNA from 1 species
UACGUAGGGUGCGAGCGUUAAUCGGAAUUACUGGGCGUAAAGGGCUCGUAGGCGGCCAACUAAGUCAGACGUGAAAUCCCUCGGCUUAACCGGGGAACUGCAUCUGAUACUGGAUGGCUUGAGUUCGGGAGAGGGAUGUGGAAUUCCAGGUGUAGCGGUGAAAUGCGUAGAUAUCUGGAGGAACACCGGUGGCGAAGGCGGCAUCCUGGACCGACACUGACGCUGAUGAGCGAAAGCGUGGGGAGCGAACAGGA